CUCCAUGCCUCAUCGCGCGCGCCUCCACACCAUCGCGUAGUCGUACUAGCCUCACUCCACGCGACCCCGACACCGAGAUUCUCGCCGUUCCGGUGAGUCGAGAUGAUCUUGCAGAGAAAGUACCAAGAUGGGAGAAGGGGUCGUCAAGCGGAUCUGAGCACCAUCCCGUGCUGUGGGUUGCCUUCGUGAGGUUCGCACCCCUCCUUCCUGAUGCCCCCCUUCUUCUCCCCCAGCGGCAGUCAUGGUGGCUCGGUGGCAGCCCCGCAGCAUCGAUGGGAGAAAUCCCAUGGGAAUUAUCGAUGGUGAAAGCCUCGUUGCCCAGGCUUCCUGCUUCGAUCUGCCCCACUGUCCUUUCAUGGGCCUCAAUCUGCCCCACAAUAUCAUCAACAAGCCAACGUCAUUAAAGUACAUCACGGCCUCUUUCUGGAGCAAUCGAUCGACCACUCUUCUUCCUGGGAUAAAGUAGCGGCCAAUGGAUCCAUCUGUGAGCGGCCACAGCCGUCGUUCCUUCCGGCAAGGUGAGACGUCAAGCAGGAAAUAUCUUGGUCAUUUUACACUUGCAUUGUACGACAUGGAGGUCAAGAGGAUGUAUCCGCCUCUCCUAGGUCCAGGACAUGCCUAUACACGUAGCAGCAGUGACAGUCCAUCAGUUUCUUUCUUUUCUUCAAGAGGUUCAGUUUAUUUACAUAACUAUUUUUUGUGGCCCUUCUACAAGGAGAUUACAUCUGAGUCUUUUUUUCUUCCAUUGAGGUCUGGUGCUUGGGUAAUAUACGGGUUUAUUGCUUGUGGGGUUAACAUGCUAUAUAAAUUCAGAGCUUUAAACUAAUCUUGUGGUGAGUUCUUAUUGUAGGAUGCUAUUGCGUGGUCUUUUCUGCCCAGGUAACUAGAAUGUUUUCUAUUUUAAUUUAUCUUGAUUACUUGUUGAUGAAGUGAAGUGAUCUAAUCAGACAAUUCAAUUGACCAACGGGACGAUUCCCUCAAGUGAGGAUUUGAGAUGAUAAUUGAGAUGUAGAUGACAAAGGUUUUCACUAGGUAACGGUAUUUUUGUUUAUAAGAGGUAAUGAUAUCAUGCAUUCAUGGACGAAAGUCUGGAUUAAUUAUGCUUAGGAGGCGGCGGUAUAGUGUUGUCUCUUAAUUAAUAUAGGCGGAUGAUGAAUUUGAUCUGCUCCGGUCAGAGUCCGACUGGAUACAUACUAUAAUAUAGCAAUGUGCAAAUACAUGAUUGAUGAUUGUCACUUUAAGUUCUUUCGCGAAGUCCAAUUGAUGAUGAUUAUUACUGCAAGGAUACAACCACAGAGGGAGUAUUAUCGCAGGUCACAGGUCACGCUCCGGUCAGAGUCCGACUGGAUACAUACUGUAAUAUAGCUCUGAGGACGGCUGGAUCAGUGAGCUAAACUAAUCAUUAAUCAUUUUUUGCAUCUUCUUCUUAUUUUGUUUCCUUCUCUGUCCCGCUUUUCUUCUCCUUGCACCCUAAAUCAGUAUAUUAGGUUCAUAAGAAAUCAAAUAUUUCUCUGACUUGCAUUGUUCAACUUUCUAUUGCCGUUCCAAUGUUUGUCUUUUCUUCUCUAUAGUAAGAAGUUGUACCUGUCUGCAGGUCAAAGAGAAAAUAUGCAGAUUUUGCCUCUAGGAUGUAUCGUGCCGAUGCAAUUACUGGGAAGUUCUUGUGGGAAUUGCACACAUCUAGGGAUAUAGGGAUCAAGACGUUGUAAAACUCACAUGAGUUGGACUUAUUUUGUUCUUGAGCGUGAGAUGAUUACAUGUGUACCCCGGAUCUGGUUGAGAUAAUGUCCAUCACUCUCCUCUCGUAGGCGUGUAGCGCUAGGUUGCGGGCCUGCCGUAAGCCUCCUCCCUCGAGUGCCAGAACCAACAACAAGCGGCGGAGAAGAACAUGCAUGGGCGUGCUGUCGGGGUCAUGUAAUUAGUUUCUAGGAUGUGAGAUCCCGAGGGUCUAAGACAUAUCACUAUAAUAAUAGUGAAUGCAAUACUUUUUAAGCACGUGGUCUAAGACAUAUAUGUAUAAAUAGUGAAUGCAAUAAUUUUUCUGUAUAUGAAAAUUAGAAAUAUGUUAUAACAAGGUGUGCAGGAUAUUUUACUAUUGAAAUAUUAGGUAGUGCAGUAUGAACAAUGUUCUUUAGUUCAGUAUAAAAAGGUGGCAGAUGCAUAUCAACAGCUCAAAUUUUGAUGUUUCGUUUGUGAUUACAGGCUAACCCAGAGAGGAACGUGGUUGUUGCUGCUGCUUGAGGACUCCACUGAAAAAUAGAAGAGAAGAUGAAGAGAAGAGAAGAGAAAGGCCUGCAGAUCUUGAUGGAGAUCAUAAAAAAUUGUUCCGCA